GGGGAGACAAUUGUUAUAGAAUAUUUAGGAACUUUACAAAAAAAAGACAAAGGAACAUGCAUGAACAAAUCAUGUUAAUGUAAAAGAAAAAUAAUAUGACGUUCUUUGUGGUAUAUUUGUAGCAAGUGUCACCUUGGUCCAGAGUAACAAAAUAGGAUUCAGAUAUACAAUUAAACAAAUAUUUAAUGUCAAUUGUUCGCUUAUUCACUUUAUUCAUCUAUUUGUAAUAAUAACAAUUUGUAUAACUAAAAAUAAAGAUUUUGAUAAAUGUUUGUUUAAAUUUAACCCAUAUGAUCCCAAAACAUGUCUGCUCAGCUGGACCGUACGCGUAUACUCAUACGGUCCGACCGUACGCGUAUGGUCGGACCGUACGAGUAUACGUAUACGGUCCGGACCGUACGCGUACGGUCCAAAUACUCAUAUGGUCUGGAACAUAUAUACAAACUAGUAUUUAA
rnacentral:lncRNA from 1 species